GAAAGAGAUCAAGGGGAUUCUUGUGAGCAAGGUUCUUCCUGGUACCUGAUUGGGCAACUGGAUGAAGAAGAGGGAAAGGAAAAAGCUGCCUGAGCCCCCCAAGACAUCAGGUGCCCUCCUUAUGGUGACUGCAGAGAUCCUGGGAAGAGUCAAAGGUUAUUCAAAUCCAGACUGGACCCAAAGGGGUUCACAGAGAGGCAGGAGACCGCUUGGAAAAGAGACAAGAUCUUGUUGCCCAGGCUGGUCUCAAACUCCUGCGUUCAAAUGAUACUCUCGCCUUGGCCUCCAAAAGUGUUGGGAUUGCAGACCUGAGCUACUAUGCCUGGCUGAAUUCUAUUUCUAUUGGAUUGGUUGUAAAGAAGUGCAUUGUAGCCUGCAAAGGAGCAGGGCCAGUGGGGUGGAGAGGGCAGAAGUGCUACAGAGGCCCCUGCUCUCCACUGCCCUGACUGCUACUGUGCUGGAUGCCGUGUGAACCACAGCUGCAUCUGGAGGCCUUGGGCAGGCUUUUCCAAUUUGGAGGCACAAAUAAGUGAGAACUUGGGGAUCCACUGAGGUCUGAGGCACGGUGGUACCAGAGGAGAUGAAGGGGCUUUCAGCAUGAAGCUGGUCCCCUGUCGACAGCACGCUGAUUUUCCCGUUGGGCUCUAUCAGCAUGUCCACUGUGAGACCAUGCUUGUGAAAAUACCAGGACGGUAAAUUAGUGAAUUCCAAAGUCAGGAUUUUUGUUGGAUCUGGCACAGUCACAGGAAAGUCUGAGUUUUCUCAAGGGCAUCCCUGUCUCACCGAGGGGCACCAAGGACAGACGACCAGAAGCAAAUGGCGCAGUCACCGUCAGAGGAGAGUAAAACUCAUUCUGAAACGGUUCCAAAUGCCCAUGCCUGCUCUGUGGUUUUCAGCAAAGCGGACCUUUCCAAAAGACCUCCAACAGGGACUUCCUGGAUGUGAGAACACUAACCAAUUCUCGUUCCUCUCAUCUUUUGCUUUAUUCCUUCCUUCCAUGCUGUUAUUGCGAAAAACUGGUAGUUAAAUUCAAUUGAUUCAAAAUAUUCGGGAUCCAUAUGGCCGCCAACCCUGGAGCUGAAGCGGCGAUAGCGCCUCACUGCUGUUUUCAAGCAUUUGCCUCUCCUCCAGUCCCCAGAUGGUGGGAGUAACAUUUAAACCUCCUUUUCUCUGCCUUGUACAAUAGACCUUGGCACCAUUUCAACUGUUUACUCCGGUAAUUAACAGCUCUGAUACCACAACAAUUACAACUCCUACACUCUCACCACAAUAAUGCUAUGAAUUAGUGAGAGCUAAUGGCUGGAAGGUAGAGUGUUUCCAGACUGUGGGAUCUGUGCAUUUUUAGAAUAAAAUAAAAGGUACAAACAGCACGCUUGCAGUAGACAAUGAUUACCUAGUAAUUAGUUUACACAAAGCUUCCUAUUUAAUGGCAAAACGCUGUAAUUAACGUGUGACAGAAAAUCAAAGGGUACUUUGUAAGCAUAUUAAAAAUUAACACUGCAGGCCCAUAGCUUUAUGUACUGAUUAGAAGCAUAUUAAAUCAAUAGGACACACAAACCAACAGCUUGGGUAGCUGAUUAUUAUAGGUCCUCAGAAGGGGUACCCUGGCUUUCAUUUCACUUGGGGAGGCAAUUUUCCUUCUCCUGUCAUCUUCCUCAGGCACAGAGAAACACCUCAAACUCAACCCUGGCAGCUUCAUGAAAAUAACCACUGAACUGGAAGAAAACAUUCUAAGUCAUUCUCAGAGAUGAAGACAAAUAUGUAAAUGAUUAAGACUUUCCAAUGAUUGUGGUGACGUGCUGCUACACUAAUUAGAAAAUACACCAACUGGAACCAGAAAAUAAAGCCACUGGGUUGCAAUCUUCCGGUCAGAAUAAUCUCUACUUUGUCAAGCCUCUUUAUUCAACUCAUAGAAAGUUCAAAUAAAUGGAACUGUUUUAUAUUUCUAAAUGAUAAGAAAGCAGGCUGCUAUGAAGACUUAUUCUUUCCAAGGCACUGUCUGGGUAAAGCAUAGGCUGGGAACAACUGGAUCAACCAACAUUCUGUAUCUUCAACAGCCACAACCCCAUAUAAUGAUGGCUGAUGGACAUAGACAGCAAUAUCCUGGAAGCCUACCAGAGCCUAAAGAACCUUCUGAAUCACCAAAGAAAGAUUAAGUUGUAUGUACUUGUUCAAUGUUACCUGUAUUUUGUUAUAAUACAAUUUUAUGGUAAUAAUAACAACAAUAAUAAUAGGUAGCAUUUCUUAAAGUCUUAUUAUGUGCUAAGCACACUGCUAGCCAAUUCAUAGAAUUAUCUCAUUUACUUGUCACCACUUCCCCAUGAGACAGGUACUAAUCUCUCUUUACAGAUAGAGAAAGGGAGACUUGGAGAGCUGAAGUAAUUUGCCUAUAGUUAUCCCCCAGGGAGCAUGGGAGUCUAACCUAGGUGUCCCUGGCUAUGGAACCCCAGGAAGCCAAACUACCUCUUAGUUACCCUGAAUGACUAGCCUGUUCCAACACUCAUUCUGCUUAAAAGGCAGUUUACUAUGUCAACCUGGAAUAGGAGACUAAAAAAAUUAAAACAAAAACAAAAUAUUUGGUUGCUUAUUUUUUUAAAAAACAGGGUGUUUCUGCUUUUAGAGAUAGGAGUCUUGUUCUGUCACCCAGGCUGGAGAGUGGUGGUGCAGUCAUGACUCAUUGCAGCCUCAAACUCCUGGGCUCGAGUGAUCCUCUUUCUUCAGGCUCCUAAGUAGCUGGAACUACAGGCACACACCUAAUUUUUAAAUUUUUUGUAGAGAUAGGGUCUCACUAUAUUGCCCAGGCUGGUCUUGAACUCCUGGCCUCAAGCCAACUCCCACCUCAGCCUUCCAAAGUGUUGGGAUUACAAAAUAUUACAGGAGUGAUCGACUGCACUGGGCUAAAAACAAGGGUUUUAAAUGCUUACCAUAUUUUUAAUGCUACAUCUGAUUGUGAAGGUGGGCUACUCAAAGCUUUUUGGGAAUUUACAGGCUCACUAAAAUGAUCACGAUAGUGUAUUAAAUUGAGAAAGGCAUUGAAAAUCUGUCAUUCCCAUGAACAACCAAAGGGUGAUGUCUAAAAUUCUCUCUCAUCACCCAUGCACAUAACCAGGUAUAUGAGGCAGUUGGGUUGCAAGAGCUGAAUCCUAGAAACUCCUAGGCAGGGCUCCUCCUCUCCAGCUCUGAGGUGUGUGUAUUGAUGGCCCCCUACACCUCCCAGUUUGCUGCCUUGUGGGAAAAGGAGACCAGCUCUUCUGUUAUCUAGGAAAGGGAAGAAAUUUGAGAGCAGUGGCCUCUGUGUUCCAGGAAUAUUUGCGUUUCCCACAAAUCUCUGGAAAGCAGAAAGCUUGCCACAAGGGCAGCACACGGUAUGAGUCACAAAGGCAAGGACCUGAGGGAGAACACUUCCCAGGACUUUCAAAUAAGGUCUUUCCUAAAUGUACUUGGCUCAGUGUGGCAAAAGCACUGGGCUAGCAGCAGUCAGAUGUGGGUUCAAAGCAAGGCACAAUCAUUUAUUAGCUAUAAAUUUGGGCAAGUCACUUCUUGAGAAUAAGUUUCUUCAUCUGUAAACAGAAGUAAUACCUUCCUUAUAUCUUAAAUUGGUGUGGAAGUAAAUGAGUAAAAACCUCAGGGUUUUUCUGAGUUUAAAUGAGACAAUUCAUGUAACGUGCUUAGCACAAUACCUGGUACCCAGUAGGUACUCUGCAGUAUUUAUUGAUGAUGAUGAUGAUGAUGAUGAUGAUGAUGAUGAUGACAAAGAAAUACAAGGAAAUGUCAACACCUUAACAGUGCAUUCAUAGAUCUACAAAAUGCUUAAUCUCAGUGUUCUGGCAACCACUAAAUACAUAAAGAUAAUCUAAGACAUCAAGAUUUCAACAUAUAAAAAUAAAUAUAAAAACAAGUGAACAAUAAUCAUUUAUAUGUAGUUUCAUGACUGGAAAAAAUAAUAACCUAGAUUUUUUCUUAACCUAGAAAAUCUAGAUUAAAAAAUAAAGAUCUUGCAUUUUUGAUAUAAAACACAAAUAAUAAGGACAUGAAAAAAGAAUAUCCCUUGCUAGUAAUCAAAUAAUAGCAAUGAGAAGCUGGAUUCUUAUAUCUAAAAUAAAAGUGCAAAUAGUUCAUAAUAUCCAUUGGUGGUAAGGUUGUGGUAAAACUAGUAUUCUUAUUCUCUGCCAGUUGCUUUGGAAAUUGGUACUAUCUUUUUAGGAAUAUGGCAAUAUGUAACAAAAGCCAUAAAAUAUUCUACUCCUGGGUCUUUCUCCUCGGGAAGUAACUCAACAGAAGCAAAAAGAGGUGUAUACAAAAACCAAAUAUAAAAACAAACAAAUCUUUCCUCCCUCUUUCCUCCCACUGCCAAAAAAUGAAAGCUGGGAAUAGCCUAAAUUUCCAACUUAGUUGAAUUGUUCAAUAUAUUAGAGUUCAUCAAUAUGAGAGAAUAUUAUGCAUCUAAUAAUUGUGACGACUAUGUAUAAACAUGGAAAAUAUUUAAGAUCUGAUGUUUAACUAGCAUAUACACUAUUAUUGUAGCUAUGAGAAAGAAAUACUGCAUAUUUAGAAAUUAAUAUACAAAAAUGAAAACAACUAUGUUUGGGGACAGUGAUUAUGUACUUUUAAAUUUUUUUUAAUCUUGUUAUCUUUAAACUUUUCUAAAAAUGAUGUGAUUACAAGCAAUGGCUCUUUGGGAUCACCUAAUAAAUACCUACUAAAUUCUAGACGGGACAACGAGCUCUGCCAUCCUGCAAUGGCUCCUGUGACCUAGUUCCAGGGCCAUUCUGAAUGGACAGAGGUCUUCACAAUGGAGGUGGAGAUGCAGGGAGCUCUAUGGCAUGAAAUGGUUAAUGAUUCUCUUUUGUAAUUGUGUUUUCUGUUUGCUGCCUUAGUUCUAAAAGGAGGCAAAACAACUGUGGUUUAUUCUACCUUUUCCAGGCAUAGUUCUUCUCCUACCUUUGUGAUCCCCAAAUUAAUAUCAAAUGUCUAAUUAGUUUUUUUCUCCAUUGGUGAUCCCCAAAUUAAUAUCAAAUGUCAGACAAAGUAAAUCAAAGUACAAAUAAAGGUAAAACUGCUCUUGCAAAGGGCUAAAAUAGCAAUGUUUACUAGAAGCAUUCAAGAGCCAGUUCAAUUUCCUAUUUCUCAUUAAGUGGUAAAAUAGUAAUGCCAAGACCACAUCCCAGAAUCUCCAGGGUAACAGAGGCCCAACGAAGGGCUGCAGAGAAACUUGAAAGUAAACUGGCUUAGUUCUUUACACACAGAAAUUGUUCUACAAAGAUCUCUUGCAAAGCAGUGUCACCAGUAGCAUCACUGCCACUAAGCCAAUGUCCCAGGAAUUGAGGAAAGGAAGACACCCUUAAAGAAAAAAAUGGAAAAAAGCCACAAGGACUGGUACCACAGUAAAUGUCUGCCUGGGUCUCCCUAAACUGUCUUAGGUGAGCUUACCCAGGAAUGUUUCUCCCCUACAUGUUUGCCUUCCUUUGUUUAAGCCUUUAUUCCUCCUAAAUGAAAAUAAAUACCCCCGACUGGGGAACGUGGAGUUUGGAGUGUGUGCAAGAGUGUGGAUUCAUUAAAACUUAACGAGCAGAGUACUUAAGUGAAUGAGUUUACUGGAACUUGUUGGGGGAAGUAGGUUUUGUUAGCUGGU
rnacentral:lncRNA from 10 species